CGCACAUUGCGCCCCUCGGUAUUCCGUGGGGCAUGCCUGUUCGAGCGUCAUUUACACCCUCAAGCUAUGCUUGGUGUUGGGCGUCUGUCCCGCUCUCGGAGCGCGGACUCGCCUCAAAGUCAUUGGCGGCGGUCGUGCCGGCUCCUCGCGCAGCACAUUUGCGCUUCUCGGAGGCCCGGCGGAUCAGCGUCCAGCAAGCUACUAUCAUGACUUGACCUCGGAUCAGGUAGGGAUACCCGCUGAACUUAA
rnacentral:misc_RNA from 1 species